GACGAACGCUGGCGGCGUGCUUAACACAUGCAAGUCGAACGCUGAAGCUCAGCUUUUGUUGGGUGGAUGAGUGGCGAACGGGUGAGUAACACGUGAGUAACCUGCCCCCUUCUUUGGGAUAACGCCCGGAAACGGGUGCUAAUACUGGAUAUUCACUGGUCUUCGCAUGGGGGUUGGUGGAAAGGGUUUUUCUGGUGGGGGAUGGGCUCGCGGCCUAUCAGCUUGUUGGUGGGGUGAUGGCCUACCAAGGCUUUGACGGGUAGCCGGCCUGAGAGGGUGACCGGGCACAUUGGGACUGGGAUACGGCCCAGACUCCUACGGGAGGCGGCAGUGGGGAAUAUUGCGCAAUGGGCGCAAGCCUGAUGCAGCGACGCCGCGUGAGGGAUGGAGGCCUUCGGGUUGUGAACCUCUUUCGCUCAUGGUCAAGCCGCAACAAUGGUUGUGGUGGGGGUAGUGGGUAAAGAAGCGCCGGCUAACUACGUG
rnacentral:rRNA from 1 species